UUUUUUUUUGACAGUGCUGAUUGAUUGGAUUUAUUAAAUGGAAAUGUACAGUGUUGCUUUCAAAUGGUGAUAAUUUCUUAAUGGAAUUUCACGUGCAGGCACUCAGACAUGAACUAAUGGAUAAGGAGGAGACAAUCAUAACUGCUUUGGAUUCAGCCCAUAGAAGGGCCAGAGGAGUCGCGCUGACACCUUCAUGUUUAAACAGAGGACACUUUUCUGCGUGCCACUAGAUGUAUAUCAGCCAUACCAAAAUGCUGCCUUUGCCUGAGACAGGGAAGAUGAAAUGACUUUGGGGAAAUGGAGAAUCAUUCAUGAAUCCAGUUACUUUCUGAUCUGACAGCUUUGUGGCAUCUGAAUGGAUAACAAUUUGAUCUGUGGAAUUGGACUUGUUACAGAAGUGCUGAACGUCAACUUGCCAAAUACAAUUGGAUGAAAAGUAUGAGGCCAAUCAGUCUCUUGAAACACUUUCUCUAUGCAAUCAACAUAACAACAUUCAUUGACAAUGAAAAAUUACGUACGUGCUUAAGAAGAUUAGAUUUGAAACAGAGAUUUGUGAAUAUGAAUGGAGCUAUAUAUGUCCCCAUCUCAGGCACCCACCUCAAGUUCACCUGGACUAUCUACAACACCUCUGUCACCUUCCUGGACCUCUCUGUCUCCAUCUCAGGUAACCACCCAGAAACCGAUAUCCAUUUCAAGCCCACCGACUCCCACAGCUACCUAGAAUACACCACCUCCCACCCACCUUCCUGCAAAAAUUCCAUCCCCUAUUCCCAAUUCCUUCACCUCCGCCUCAUCUGCUCCCAGGAUGAGGCAUUCCAUUCCCGUACACGUCAGAUGUCCUCGUUUUUCAACGACCGCAACCCCCCACCCCCCACCCAACCACACACAGUGGUCAAGAACCAUGUCUCCCACAUUUCCUGCAACUCAUCCCUCACACCCCAUCCCCGCAAUAAGCACC